UACGAAGGGGGCUAGCGUUGUUCGGAAUUACUGGGCGUAAAGCGCACGUAGGCGGACAUUUAAGUCAGGGGUGAAAUCCCAGAGCUCAACUCUGGAACUGCCUUUGAUACUGGGUGUCUUGAGUAUGGAAGAGGUGAGUGGAAUUCCGAGUGUAGAGGUGAAAUUCGUAGAUAUUCGGAGGAACACCAGUGGCGAAAGGCGGCUCACUGGUCCG
rnacentral:rRNA from 1 species